UCUUCAAAGAACAAUUAGUUAAUUUGGUUGAUAUUAAUAAUCCUUGAUGGAAAGAGACGCGGGGAGGGGGGGAAGCCGUUGAGGAAACCCUUCGCAGCCGGUUCCAGGGCUAAGAGUGGGCUGGCAGAUAAUUACGGUGCGUUCACAGACGAUUAAUCAGGCGUCAGGGCAUGAGCUCGGGUACUGCCGGUCGCUGCCCUCCCUGCACCAAAACCCGUAGCCGCCUGCCGGGGCGGCGGGUCCCUGCCUAUCGGGCGAGCGAACGGGCGGAGUCCACCGCCGCCUGCGGGCGGCACUCGCCCCGGGGGCUACCGCGGACGGGACGGGCGGCGGCGAGGUUGUGGGGACGGCCGGGGCGCUGUCGCUUCCCGAGAUUCGUUUUGUCCUUCCCUCCUUGCUUCCAGGAUCUUGGCAGCGCCCGUGCCCGGUGACCCACCGCCGGGGAAGGUGGGGCCGCCGCCCCGGAAAGCGGAUAGGAGCAGCUGCUGGGUGCUGCAGCCCGUCCCCGAGCCUUCCCCCCGCCUUUUCUAACCGGGAAGGACCCCUCCCGCGCCCCGGGCCCCGAGGUGACGGAUUUACGCAGUAGUUGCCUCACGAAGCUUGCGUGACAUCAGAAAUCAGCGCCGGCGAGUGGCGCCCGGUGCUCAUUGGGCUUUAUACAACUUUUCAAAAGUUGGAGAAGUUUCACAGAAGAUCGCUAAGGACAAGUGGAUCCAGCCCAGGGGUACAGUCGGUGGCCCAGGAGACCUCUGAGGUGCGGUUUGGGAAGGUGAAGCAGAUUUUUUCCCUUCCAAAAUGACUUUCCGAGCUCUGGUUUUGUGCCUGGCUUGUGCUGGGCUUGCAGAGGCAAAUGUCAUUCCACAGGCGGAACACAGAAACGUGACGGUGGGCAACAACGUGACUCUCGGCUGUACCCUGACAGAAUCCAAGGAUGUUGUGCAAGUGACAUGGCAAAAGGACUCUGAAAAAUCACACAAUAAUAUAGCUACGUACAGUACCCUAAAAGGAUUAAAGAUUCAUGAGCCCUAUCAAGACCGAAUGAAUUUCACGAGUCUGGUACUCAAUGAGACAAACAUCACUUUUUGGGACACUAGAAUGGACGAUUCAGGGUGCUACACGUGUCUCUUCAAUACUUUCCCUUUCGGCUCCAUCUCAGGACGUACCUGCCUGACUGUGUUUGGUCUCAAUGCAUCUGUCCAUUACAACAUUUCCGAAGGUCAUUUGAUUGCCACCUGUAAUGCCGUUGGCUUCCCAGAGCCCACCAUCACCUGGAACAACUUAUUCAAUUCUACUCCUACACAGGAGACAGUCAGGCACACCAAUGGGAUGGUGUCCAUCACCAGUAAGCUGGAGAUCUACAACACUCAGAGCAUCGGUGCACAGGGUUUGACCUGCAGAGUAAGCAACACAAAUGAAAAAAUGGAAUUGCCUGUGAAAAUGAAAAGAGAAGAAGGAUCCUCGUUGCUUUGGCUGAUGAUUAUUGUGGGGAUUUUAAUUGUCAUCAUAGCUCUGACUGUCACGCUGUGUUGGAAGAAGAGGAUGUGCAGGAGGAGUUGAAGUGGUUUUGAUGAACUGUGGCGCCAGGAUGUGACUUCUGCAGUGGGCUUGAUCCUAGAGGAUUUCGAUUCACCUACCAGAUCACUACAGCCUAGCAGCCUGAAGUCAACAUUACAAGCAGUGACUGGACGGACUGGAAAGAAACAGCAAUAAAAAGGAAAUACAUCACUCUACCCUUCAUAGACACAGAGUUGAUCACUGAAAAGACUAGCACAAUGUUUGUUAUCCGGUCUAGAUGCCUAUUCAUAAAAAGUGGGACCAGAGGGACCACUUAGUCCGCUCCUCUGCUGCUGGGCAAAAUCUGCUUUGCUUGUGCCACUCUUGGUACUGCUAGUGUGCAAAAUGUAUUUGCCUUCUUUCAGUUGAGUUUUGAAAAUGUCCAUGGAUGGAGGCUCUGCAGGCUCUGUGGGGAUGCUCUUCCAGUGCCUAAUCGCUCUCGCGGUAAAGAGGGGUUUAAUUUUUGCAAACAUCUGUCUGCAAUUUCACUUGCAGCAACUCUUCAUUCAUCGCCCUCUUCCUGACAUCUGGUUUUCCUUCUUUUACCUGUCUGACCCAACUCCUUUUCCUUGGUGUACGUAUGAAUGUGCCAAUGACCAUAUAGCUUAACUCUCGACCUGCUGGACUCAAACCACACCAAAUCUGCCAAAAUUCUUGGGGAAGACCAAUAAGGCUCCAGGCAGGUUGCAGAUUAGAGGCAGUAGCUGCCACACUUGGUAAAGAAGAGUUGUAAGUAGUUUAUUUAAUUUGGCUUUUCUUUCAAAUCCCGAGGUGGUGGAUUUUUUUUAAUAUAUAAGUGAGGAGGAGAUGAAAGUGAAGCCCAGUAGUUGGAAGUAUUGCCAUCCCCAUCUUUCUUUUCCUUUCUGUUUUGCUGUCAUUCUCUUUCUGUUUUUAAUGGAAAAACUCUGUUAAUAUCCCAAAGUAGCCCUUGCUUAGCUGUCAAAAUGCAUGUCCUAAGUUUGUCAAUAGUUCUCAUGGUCAUCUUAUGCACUGUUCAGAAUAGUCUCCCCGUCUUCAUCCUUUUUUGUGGUGUCUUUUUAAACACAGGCAAAUACCUCUGCUGGCCAAAAGCUAUUAUUCCCUACUUGGACCUUGUGUGGGAUGUUACAGUCUGGAGCUAACUAUCGUGUGUCACUGCUGCGAAUGUAAUGGUAUCAGUGGGGAAUUUUACAGAGGCAGAAUUGACUGCUUUGUCAUGGUUUUGGUAGCGGAGAAAGAUACUGCACUGCUCUUGCAAGCUGGGACCUAACGCUGCUCCUGCCCCAGGCAGGACCGGAGCCCCUCUCCCCACCACUGCCCCUGGUUGCUCCUUGCUGCCUGCCCAAGCCUGCAGAUCUGGCCAUUCCCAGGCUUAAUCCUCCAGUUGCCCAUGUGCCCUGCUUGCUGGGGCGUCUCCCGGGCACUGCCUUGCAGCUCUUCUCAUUUGUGAGGGGUGGGAGCCUCGGCGUGCCCUCUGCCUCCCGGCACCUCGCCAGGGCUCCAUACCCGCUUCAUUUGUUUGUGCAUCUGCAACAUUCCAUCUUACUAAGUGCGUAGCGUUUUGGGGGGUUUUUUUAUGUCAUACGUUUACCAAGAGUACAAACUGUCAGUCUCAAAAAAUCAGCCGAGAAGAUCUAGCAGAUACAGGACUUGUGAUAAGUGUUCAGAACCAGUAUUUUGUUGGGUUCCAGAGCAGCGGCCUCUCUAGAGUCUGGCAGAAGUUGUGUGUGUGUGCGCAUAUAUAUAGGUCUGUAUGUAUUACUGAGGACAUGAGGGGUGACGUUUGCUGUUACUGUUGUAGGUGCAAUAUGAAUUGUUUAUUUAUACUUCUAAUUUAAAAAAAAAAAUAAAUAAAUCUGAUCCAUCCAAAACACCAACUGGUCCAUUUGAUUUUUUUCUUCUGCUUGUUUGGGAUAUCAGAAACACUUCAUUGCAAAUUGUGCUUUUUUUUAUGGUUUUGAUUUACACUUUGCUUCCUUUCUGUAUACAGAAAGUGGGACUUCAGGGGGUUUUUAAGAUAGUUUGGGGUUUUUUUUUUUCAAAAAGAAAUUUAAGCAAAACAUCUUUUGAGAAAAAUUUACAGAAGUAUUUUUGACCACAGCAGUGCUGUGGUUUACUUCAGAUUUGAAAAUAAUUUCCAUCAACCAAAAAAAUAGUAUUUUAUAUAUUUAGUGAUAUUUUGUGUGUGCCAUGUUCAUUGCUUAAUGAUUCUUUAUCUGAAGUUACAUGCUCUACUGAUGUACAACUGUCCUUAUUUCUGUAUUUGC